GGCAGAACCAAAUGCACCCUCAACAUCAGCCUCCAUAUCCUGGUCCAAAUAUGGCAUAUCCGCCAUCAUCCGGGUUACUUCCUAACCCAUCUGGCCCCCCUCUACCAUCACCAAGAAUGAAUGGUCCUCCUCCUCUCCCAUCACCUAGAAUGAAUGGUCCACCGCCCCUACCAUCACCUAGAAUGAAUGGUCCACCACCCCUACCAUCACCAAGGAUGAACGGCCCUCCACCCCUCCCUUCCCC
rnacentral:lncRNA from 1 species